rnacentral:rRNA from 1 species
GUCUAUGGCCAUGUCACCCUGAACCAGCCCGAUCCCGUCUGAUCUCGGAAGCUAAGCAGGGUCGGGCCUGGUUAGUACUUGGAUGGGAGACCACCAAGUAAGACCAGGUGCUGUAGGCG